rnacentral:rRNA from 1 species
GACGAACGCUGGCGUCGUGCUUAGCACAUGCAAGUCGAACGGUAAGGCCCUUCGGGGUACACGAGUGGCGAACGGGUGAGUAACACGUGGGUGAUCUGCCCUGCACUUCGGGAUAAGCCUGGGAAACUGGGUCUAAUACCGGAUAGGACCACUGCCUGCAUGGGUGGUGGUGGAAAGCUUUUGCGGUGUGGGAUGGGCCCGCGGCCUAUCAGCUUGUUGGUGGGGUGAUGGCCUACCAAGGCGACGACGGGUAGCCGGCCUGAGAGGGUGACCGGCCACACGGGGGCUGAGAUACGGCCCAUACGACUACGGGAGGCAGCAGUGGGGAAUAUUGCACAAUGGGCGCAAGCCUGAAGCAGAGACGCCGCGUGAGAGAUGCCGGCGUUAGGGUUGUAAACCUCUUUCAGUAGGGACGAAGCGCAAGUGACGGUACCUACAGAAGAAGGACCGGCCAACUACGUGCCAGCAGCCGCCGCAG